AGAGUACUGACAUGGAGGACCCCAUCCAGACCAUAAUAUAAUGUGAAAUCUGUUUACCAACUGGUUAUAUAAAUGCAUGAACACUGAAUAGUACGUUUAACAGCAGAGUUUAUUUCGAACGGAAAACAAUGGACAGGAGAUAUUUCGCUGUGCUGGUAAUAUUCAUUACCAUGCCAUUUAUAUCUAUCCAGAAUCCUGUAUGUCAUUCAGGAGAAUGCUGGUAUCUAGGCCAAUGCUGGGAAAACAAUCGAGGAAUACAACCAACAGCUGAACUGAAUGAGUAUACCGGAUGUCUGAAAGUUCUCUUGUGCAGGGACGGUGUAACUCUUGUAAGGAAUGUAUGUCCUAACUGAUAGAAUCCUGAUGUAGCCUACUAUAAUGAUGAAAGCAAAUAACAAUGAUGAAAGAAAAUACGACAAACUUUAGCAGUGUGUUUUUUUUUUGUUGUUUCGACCACACAAUAAUAUAAUAUAUACAUGUAUAAAGAACGAAGUAUACUUGUGAUAAUAAAACAAAAGUGCUACUAUU